rnacentral:tRNA from 1 species
GGUUGUUUGGCCGAGUGGUCUAAGGCGCUAUUCCGAAAGGGCGUGGGCUCAAAUCCCACAGCAGGCA